rnacentral:sRNA from 1 species
UCGCAGUGGGUUUUAGUCUUUAAAAAGAC